CGGGCGAUGCUGGGGGCUUUCCGGUCGGGGCCGCAGCCGCUUCCGGAGCCGCGGGCGAGGUGCGUUCCCCAGCCUGGUUUGCUCUGGGCUCUGACCCGCCGCCGCGAAUCUCCGCUCGUAACUCCGGGCCUGAACCUGGAGGAGGGAGGAUUUCCUCUGUGCAGCUUUCGAGCGGUAGACUCACCCUGCCAGGCAGACCUAGAUUGGCAUAACCAGAGAUCAGUUCCAGUUGUGAUGCAGUGGGUGUCUACACACUUCUGAUGACACCUUUAUUUUAAAAGCUGAUGUUCCAAGGUGCAAGCGGUCUUCUCUGUCUUCUUUAUGGCCAGUAAAAUUCUCCAGAAGAGAUUUAUGGCAGCCUCACUCCCAGUAGUUUCUGCAUUUAGUGAGAUAAGCCACAGCAAUUGUCUGCUAUUUUAAAAGCACUGUGAUGCUUAAAUAUUCCAGCUGCUACAUCGGACAGGUGUCUGAUGAUCCUGAGAACAGUCAUCAAAAAGUAGAACUUGAGCCUGGAAUACAUUCUCUGGCAUAGCCAUAGUCAAUCACCAGUAUAAUUAAUAAUCCAAGACAAGAAGAAUCUUUCAAGUGUUGCUAACCAGAACUGAGCAGAUCCAAGUAGCAAUCGUAGCCAAGCCAUUAGUCCAUGUAUGGAGAGACCAGAGAGGGCAUCCCCACGUGGUGAUGCCUCAAGCUUCAGGAGCACUCGACCAGAGUCAGUGUAGCCCUUGGCAGCUGGUGAAGCACAACCUGGGACAAAUGGAAGCUUUAGCAAUGAGCCGAUAGGUCAAGGCUAACCAGAAAGAAUGCAGCUGGGUAAUGCAAGCUAUCCUAUCUUGUAAUUAAAAGGGUUUUC
rnacentral:lncRNA from 1 species